rfam:Schistosoma mattheei strain Denwood, Zambia genome assembly, scaffold: SMTD_scaffold0005595
GCACUGCUAAGGAGUCCUACAAUAGGACGAGACGGCCGUCCAGUGC